rnacentral:rRNA from 1 species
GACGAACGCUGGCGGCGUGCCUAAUACAUGCAAGUUGAGCGCUGAAGGUUGGUACUUGUACCAACUGGAUGAGCAGCGAACGGGUGAGUAACGCGUGGGGAAUCUGCCUUUGAGCGGGGGACAACAUUUGGAAACGAAUGCUAAUACCGCAUAAAAACUUUAAACAAAAGUUUUAAGUUUGAAAGAUGCAAUUGCAUCACUCAAAGAUGAUCCCGCGUUGUAUUAGCUAGUUGGUGAGGUAAAGGCUCACCAAGGCGAUGAUACAUAGCCGACCUGAGAGGGUGAUCGGCCACAUUGGGACUGAGACACGGCCCAAACUCCUACGGGAGGCAGCAGUAGGGGAUCUUCGGCAAUGGACGAAAGUCUGACCGAACAACGCCGCGUGAGUGAAGAAGGUUUUCGGAUCGUAAAACUCUGUUGGUAGAGAAGAACGUUGGUGAGAGUGGAAAGCUCAUCAAGUGACGGUAACUACCCAGAAAGGGACGGCUAACUACGUG